rnacentral:rRNA from 1 species
AUAGAUCAUAAAUGCUGGAAUGCUUUAUGAUUGAAAGGUUUCGACCGCCUUAGGAUGGAUCUGCGGCCUAUCAGGUUGUAGUGGGUGUAAUGUACCUACUAGCCUACGACGGGUACGGGUUGUGGAAGCAAGAGCCCGGAGAUGGAUUCUGAGACAUGAAUCCAGGCCCUACGGGGCGCAGCAGGCGCGAAAACUUGACAAUGCGGGAAACCGUGAUAAGGGAACACUGAGUGCUAGCAUUUAUGUUAGCUGUCCACAUGUGUAAAUAGCAUGUGAUAGCAAGGGCUGGGCAAGACCGGUGCCAGCCGCCGCGGUAACACCGGCAGCCCGAGUGGUGAUCACUAUUAUUGGGUCUAAAG